CAGUAGCCGCGGGAAAACGUAGGGCGCAAGCGUUGUCCGGAAUUAUUGGGCGUAAAGAGCUCGUAGGCGGUCUGUCGCGUCUGGUGUGAAAUCCCGAGGCUUAACCUCGGGCUUGCAUCGGGUACGGGCAGACUAGAGUGCGGUAGGGGAGACUGGAAUUCCUGGUGUAGCGGUGGAAUGCGCAGAUAUCAGGAGGAACACCGAUGGCGAAGGCAGGUCUCUGGGCCGCAACUGACGCUGAGGAGCGAAAGCAUGGGGAGCGAACAGGAUUAGAUACCCCUGUAGUCCCUGUCUCUUAUAC
rnacentral:rRNA from 1 species